UACGUAGGGGGCAAGCGUUGUCCGGAAUCACUGGGCGUAAAGGGUGCGUAGGCGGGUUUUUAAGUCAGGGGUGAAAUCCUGGAGCUCAACUCCAGAACUGCCUUUGAUACUGAAGAUCUUGAGUCCGGGAGAGGUGAGUGGAACUGCGAGUGUAGAGGUGAAAUUCGUAGAUAUUCGCAAGAACACCAGUGGCGAAGGCGGCUCACUGGCCCGGUACUGACGCUGAGGCACGAAAGCGUGGGGAGCAAACAGG
rnacentral:rRNA from 1 species